rnacentral:tRNA from 1 species
CGGCCCUUAGUUCAACUGGAUAGAACGUCUGCCUCCUAAGCGGAAAAUAGGGGUUCGAGUCCCUUAGGGCCGGCCA